rnacentral:lncRNA from 1 species
UACGGGGGAGUGGGAAAAAAAAAAGAAACCAACUGAAUAGCAACCAAAAAUUGCUUUUUAUAUAUGUACAGGAGUUUAUUAUUUAAUGACUUCUUAUAGCUUUAAGAGUUGUACCUUUAAUUGUUCAAUUGUGAAACAUCAUUCUAGGAAAUGUCUAUUAAGGUUUAGAUAAAAUUAGAACAUACCAUGGACAUGUCAAAUUGUUUUAAAUUUUGAGGCUACAUAAUACUUGUGUGCUUCAACCAGCAAGUAAUUCAGUAGGCAUUUAGGUUGAAAAGGUUGUGGUUUAUACUAGGCCUAAGUAAAUCUUGUAACUCUUCUCCUUGGCUCUUGUGAUGUUGCUUUUUCUUAUUUUUCUUUUAUUUUUUUGAUAAAAGGACAAUUUCAUUCCAAUAUUUACACUAAUGGCAAGAACUACAUGCUUUUUCUAAAUGGAGUUUGGAAAAGGAUUAGACAUUGAUUUUACCAUCUUCAGAGCCUAUACUUUUAAAACUGCAUUAUUGAUACAAAAUAACCUUUGCAAUGCUUUCUUACUUACAAAUCAGAAAAUGGAAAAUUUAUGAUGGCCAAUUACUUAAUACAAAUUGAAGAAAAAUUACUUCAAAUGUAUUAGGACUCCAAAGACUGGACUAGCGGGUAGCUCUCGACAUGCUACAAUAUAGUAGUACAUUUUUAGAACUUAUAUUCACAUUUAAAGACAUGCAUGCACUUUUAUACUAGAUAUAUAAAGCACGAGGUUCAUUAUGAUGUGAGUUAUUUAAUUGUUUAUCACUUUUGCCCUUAUCAUAAAAGGAAGUGUAAAUGGUCAAAAUAAUCACUGAGUUAUUUAAAAUGGCAUGGUCUGGUCACUAAACUUUUUCUUUGGCCAAAAAAGUCACUUUAACUCUUUAAAAUUGGUCUUUUGGGUCAUGUUGGCUAAUUUAACCUGUAAACCAACCCAAACAAGGCACAUUUAACCUGCUAUUCUAGGUUUUCAGGUGUAAAAAUGUCCUAAACCUCGUGAUUAAUUCAAAUAACAUUCAACUCCUUUUGCUGCCCAAACGUUUAUCAAUCAGCACCUUGCUAUUAUCAACCAUUAAUUAUUAUAGUGACGUCAGCAAAGGAGAAGUUGUCGAGCGCCAAAAUGCCCUUAUCUCUCUAGGAAAAUAUGACGUCCUUUUCCACUCAACUUUUUGUUCAACAUCCACCAGAAAUUUCUAAACUUCAACUCCAUAUUUCCCCAACCGAGCCGAUAAGAAAGUCCCUUUGCAAGGCAAUCUGCCCAAAUUGUUCUCGCCUUGCAAGAUAGGUCAAGAUUGUUGAAAAGGAAAGUUCAUUUGUUUGCUCGCUUUUUGAUAAGAAUUCCGCAAGUGGUGAAUGGGUGAAAAUAGCAAUCAGAUUAGAGGCCAAAAAAAACGGGCUGACUCAGUCCGACAGCUCAUAGGUAAUUUUUUAAAAAAAAUUGAACAGUCAGCCCCGUUGCCUAUUCGCUAAAAUCAAAGGGCAGGCUGCACUUUUUUUUCUUUUCUUUUUUUCAAAUUUCAGGCCAAAGAAAAGUUUUUUUUGCUUAAAAAAACUCAUCUUGCCCAAUUUACUAGAAGAUCUCUUCCCAAAUUAAAAUUAUAACAUUAUUGUGCUUUAAAAUUAUUACAUGAGUUAUAUAAUUAAAUGGUGAAGUUAUAUAAUUAAAAUUGUUCAUGUAAUCAGUUUUAUUAUGGUAAUUUGAAAUACAUAACAUUGUUGUGCUUUAAAAAAAUAAAAAGCAAAAAAUAGAAAGGAAGGAAAAUUUAAUUAUGUCAAAUGGUAAAGUUUAAAAAUAACGCCAACUAUCAUUCAACUGAUAAAAUUAAAAAACAUGUACAAUAAAUAAUAAUAAUAAUGUCAACGCCUAGUGUGCCUUUUAUCCUUACCCUUACCUGACUCAACCUUCAAAAUUUUUUUUUUUUUAAUAAAUUCCCAAGCCUGCUGUACUUGUAUAGUAGUUGAAGAAAAGCAUGAUGUCAGAUCAACAUUUAUGUGAUUUUUUUUCAUCGAUAUGCAAAAAAAUUUGCUGUUCAAACUCGUACUAGCUCUAAAUUAGCACAAUAACAUGACUUGUAUAGCAGCUGACUUAUGGGCGCUACAAUCCUUUUUCCGUCAGCGCAAUCCACUUGCCAUUUUUAGCUCUUUCUUCAUAAAAAAGGAAGAAAAUAUUUUAUUAACUAAGUUGGUGAAAAUUGUCCAACACGAAAUUUUUCUAGUCUAAACUCUACUACUACCAAAAGUAAUUUUUGCACUUAUAAGAACAAAGGAUUAUAAUUCCUGCCCAAAUAUAUUGGUAUUUGGGCAUUAAAAUCAAAAUCUGGAUAAUUGAUAAUUCAUAACUGGGCGAAUUACUUCCAAUUGGAAGCCAGCAAAAUCUCAAAUUCGACCCAAAAUUCUAAUUUCCUCAAGUUAUCAAUCUAAUGUAUUAGCUUCCCAUGGCUCCAGAAUCCUUUCCUGAUUUACGCUUUAUUAAGGGCUUCAAUAUCAACUGUGACGCCCCAACCAAACCUCUGCUUAGGGAGACUUGAUUGGACGCCUGCAGGGCUCUCAUCAGGACUAUAAAAGAAAUUAAAACCACUAAUUCCUUCAUAAUUAUGAUAUUAACAUAAAAGGCUUUUCAGGAGCAUCCAUUAACACACCUAACAUUCGUUUAACCUAUCAUAUAUAUAUAUAUAUACUAGGAGGGGAAUGUCCGCGCAUCGCACGGGUGUUUGGUGCCUGUGGUUAAAGAAGAUUUUACGGUAGUUCAAGCGAAUAUCAAAAAACUCACGCACAUUGAGUAACAAUAUGAAAUAACAAAAUAUCUAAUGUAUACUGAAAGAUGGAGAAGGAAAUUAUGCAUGCUAUCUUGCUCAGUUCAUAUUUUUUGAAACAAACACUUGUAUAUAAGCUUUUCAUUAACAAGACUAAAUGAACUUUAAACAAAUACCCAAAUGAUUAAUGGCAAUAAACAAAGUAAUUAUCCACUUAAUGAUGCAUCUACACAAUAUUCUUGUUGAUGAAAGUAGCCAACUUUUUUAGCAACGACAAAGCCUAGCCUCAAAAGAUUUGGUUCCAUCCGAGGAUUCAGCAAUGGAUCAUCAACCCCCGUAGAUUUUGGGUGAACAUAAUGCCAAAUGCCCUUAACAUAGGCCUUUACCUGUAAUUUCGUUAACUCGAUACUAAUUAGAUCGUUCCCCAAAAAAUAAGGACAAUUGACAAAAAUCACAUCAAGAUCAAAGCCAUUUAGUAUCUCCAGCCAAACCCUUGAUGCUAUGUUAUGUGCUAAAUUGCCACCAGCACUAUUCCCACCAAAAAACACCCUAUCAAAUCUAGCAUAAUUCCUAAGCCAUACUUCAGGAUCCUCGUCAUUUGAAUGAGGGGCAACCCAUUUGACUGCAAUCUAAGAAUUUUCAUAAGCAAUAGGCAAAGAAUGCUUAGGGGCGAGCCGAUAGUUAAUUGAAACUGCUACAACACUAGCUUCUGCAACUACUACAUUAAGGUGCGCGUGAUAUGUAGGAGAGAAGGCAGAUUUGAUCAAAAAGCUUCCACCAUGUAAGUAGACCAAAAGAGGAAGUUUUGUAUCUCCAAACCUAUUCCAACAAAACCACAUCAUUUAAAUUGUAUAGAACAAUCAACUUUGUGGGGAAACAAUAAUAUCAAUAUUAAAUUGCGCUAACAGAGUAUCCAAUUUUGGAAUGAAACCAUUUAACUAACAAUAGAAAUUACGAUUUUACAAAACAAAUCAUACCAUUAAAAAAAAAGAAUGAAACCUCACCUCAAGUUGAACCACCAAGAAUAACUUCACCAAAGAACCAUAUUGAAAUUCAGAGUACAAUGGCAAUACAAAUAAGUAUUUAUCAGAAGACGAAAGGAACUAACGGAAGAAUGUAAAGGGGCAGACAUUUGAAGAAUUGAAGUUGAAACUAAUGCUCGAUCAUAAAUUCCUUAAUAAACCACAUUGUCCUUGCUUUAAUUGAGAUGAAAAUGACGUUUGAAGUUCUUCAAGUUAUAAUAGCACACAUACAUACUAAUAAUUAUUAUGCUCUCUUGCAUUUGUAUAUGUUUUUAUUUAAUUUUGCCUAUCGUCCUUUGUAUUUAUUUAUCUUCUUUAAUUAAUUUUAUAUUUUCAAAAAUAUAACAUUUUAAAUAUAUUUUAACGAGUGCCUAUAACCCCGUUAGACAGAUAGUAACAUAAAUUAAACUCAAAUCCACCAUACAGAAUCUACAGCUAUGCCAACUAGAAACCUCUAUUUAUACAUAGCAAUUCUAGCUCAAAUGCCACCGUGGCCAUAAGUUUACCAGACUUUUGUUAAGUACGAAUUGCAAAUACCCCUGCAACUUUGACAAUCAGUUUCGUGCUUGGAGUACAUUAGAUGGUUCCCACUGCAGUUCUAGAGUUCCCAAUUGAGCUCGAGAAAACAAAGGAAACUUUAACUCGGGCCCUUUUAAGAGUUUAACAAGGUAGUUUCUACGGUGUCACCGGAGGAAAUAAAGCAAGUGUCCCAAUGAAUAAUAGUCCAAUUUGUAACGGAAUAAUUCAGAAAGUUCAAGCUUCUAUUGGCUCCGAGUUGGUACAAAUUCAACAUUUUAAUACUACUUAGAUAAUGGCCAAGUAAUAGUGCAUCAUAGUUUUAUCUCACAUACUAGUUUCUUUCUCGUGCAUUUGCACGGGUCAUUUUAUAUUCAUCAACACCAUUAAAUAUUACAAUAUAAAUUUCAAAAAUCCAAGUAUUUAUUAAAGUAGACAAACUAUUUUUUAUUUAACUAUUCAAAUAUAGUUUGAGAAUGGAAAAAGAAUACACUAUAUGUAAAACUUAAAAUCAGACGAAUUUUGAAAAGAAUAUGCAAUAUACUAACCAAAAUGAGAGUUAAGUAAGAGCACUAAACAAAAUAUUGUAAACAUUCAAUAUCAUGUUAAUGUAAUUUUUUAAGUUUAAUUUAUUAAUCAAAUUAACGGUGAGCAAAUUGCAAUCAAAAUUCAAUCUAAAAAUAAUUUAGAAACCAAUAUAGUCUAUUAGACCUAUCCAUAUUUUGGGGCAAUAUUUUUUGUAAGAAGGGAAGAGGGAUCAUAACGUGUUUGAUAAUAUUUCAUUAUUAUCCCAUGAAAAGAAAAUAAAGUAAAGUAUAAAAGGAAGAGAGAGAAAACGUUGUAUAUUAUUUCCAUAAAUUGAAAAGGUGAAGUGUAAAAACAAAAUUAUUAUCAUCAUUGCAUAGGGAAUUUUAUGAACCUCUUAUGCUUGAACAUCCAAAAUGACUCUGUAUUCCUUGGUUUCUUCGGAAGUGAAUAAAGGACUUGCCAUGGAUAAUUAUAUGGUUUAAUUAUUCAACAAGUCAAUAAUGGAAAUGUUAAGAGUGGGAAAGAUGAUUGAUUGUGAAUAUAAGUAAACAUAUACAACUUUCCUAUUUUAUGUAAAUACGAAAAUUAAGGAUAAUAAAGUGGUGAUUGAUUAUCAUUAACCAACUUUGCAAGUAUUCUAAAAUAUGACUGCACGUAAAAAGUAGAAAAGUAUAGGAUUAGUUGCUGUCAACCAAAAUAAAACAAUUUAAACCUAACCAAAUAAAUUAGGGUUAAUUACAUUUAUCUCCCCUGAGGUUUGACCAUAUUACCAAUCAAUCCCUGUAAUUUGUCCAAAUAACGGUCUCACCCUUUGAAUGAUCAAACAUUUAACAAAAACCCCCUUAAUACCGAAAAUGCCCUUUUUGAGGCCAUAUUGCAUUAAAAAAAGAACAUAUUUUUAUUUAUUAACCUUCAAAUAAUCCAAAAAAAUAGAAAAAAGUUUUUACUUAUUAUUUUAUAAAAAUCAUAUCUUUGCUUCCAUAAAUAGUUUUGAAUCAAUAAUUAUUUUAAAUCUUAAAAAUAAAUAUUAAAAAUUAGAUAAAUUGAAAGAAAAAUAAAAAAGAAGCAAUUAUUUUAAAUCCUCAAGUAUGGUUCGAAUUUGUGGUUCAAGGCAUGUUGCGGAGAGCACAAGGCAUGUUUUCCUCAAUUCGAACCAUACUCCAGGAAUUAAAAUAAUUUCUUCUUUUUUAUUUUUCUUUCAAUUUAUCUAAUUUUUAAUAUUCAUUUUUAAGAUUUAAAAUAAUUAUUGAUUCAAAACUAUUUAUGGAAGCAAAGAUAUGGUUUUUAUAAAAUAAUAAGUAAAAACUUUUUUCUAUUUUUUUGGAUUGCUUCAGGGUUAAUAAAAUAAAAAUAUGUUUUUUUUUAAUGCAACAUGGCCUCAAUAAGGGCAUUUUCGGCAUUAAGGGGGUUUUUGUUAAAUGUUUGAUCAUUCAAAAGGUGAGACCGUUAUUUGGACAAAUUACAGGGAUUGAUUGGUACUAUGGUCAAACCUCUGGGCAGGUAAAUGUAAUUAACCCAAUAAAUUAAGGUAAUAUGUACACAUGGCAAAAACAUAGGAUGUCCAAUUACCAGAAUGGGAAAUAAAUCGAGAAUUAAUAUAUGUAUAUAUAUAUUUGUUUUAUAUUCCUCUUCAUCUUUGUUGUUUUUUAUUUAUUUAUAUUUUAUUUCCCUUCCAUCUCUUUUGUAUUUGAAGAAAAUUAAGAUUUUGUAGGUCAAAGUAUAGGUUUUCAAAAUCAUCCUUUCUCUUCCCAAAAGAAGAGAGAGAGAAAGAAAAGAAAAAAAAGCAAAAAAGUAGUGAAAGGAUGAAUUUGUCAAUUUAUUAAUUUAAUUUUAACUUUUUACUAUUGACCGUUAGUUUAACAGAAAAACUGACACUUUUACCCAAACCGUGAGGAGAUUAUAUGUAGAUUUUUAAAUUAUAGGGGCUUAUGUGUUAAAGCAUCCAACCAUAGGGGAGUAAAAAGUAAUUCACUCAUCUUUUAAAGAUGAAUGUGCAGGAAAAAACUAUCCAAGUGAGCACUGACAAAUUUUAGUAACCGUAAUAAAUAAACAAAUAAAAUUAGGAAUAAAGAAUGUGAUUGAAGAUGAUUAAAAAGGAAAGAUAUGAGUUGAUUGACUAAAACACAAAGAAGUUACCAUUAAUACAAAUUUAUAUAAGAUAGAUCAUUAAUAGAUUUGUUGAAAUUGACUAUAAAUAAAAAAAAAAACCAUGCUAUAAAUGAAGAAAAAAAAAGGAAGGGAAUUAAUUGUUACCAAAAAAUAGAAAAAGAAUAAAAAAUAAAAAAUAUGAACAUUAAAAAUGCCCAUGUAGCGAAAAGAUAAAUUGUCCACUUAGCAGAAGAUUAGAGUAGCCACCUUAGCAAUCUACUAAAAUCGAAACUGGACAUUGUUUUAUUAUAUAUGGUCAGUUCACAGGUGUCCAUUGAGCACUCGUUAAGAUAUAAUUUAAGUGUUAGAUUUUUGGAAAGAUAAGAUUAAUUAAGAAAAGUGUAUGAAUGUAAGAAAAAGUAAUAAUUGUUAGUAUGUGUAUAUACAUGAUAGGUUAGGUGAAGAAUGAGCACCCGUUAAAAAAAUUCAUUAUAUAUAUAUAUAUAUAUAUAUAUAUAUAUAUAUAUAUAGACACACAAACACACUUAUACUUACUAGAAUUCUGACCUUUAUAUACUAUGCACGGGUUAAGAUUUCAAAUUAAAAUAGUAAAACUAUUAUUGUUGAAAAAAAGUUAUUUCAAGAGAAAAGGCUAAAAGUUAAAAAUAGUAUUAGUUUUACUGUCAAUCUCUAUGAAAAUGUGGUAUUUUAAAUGAAGGUAAAAGGCAAAAAAUUUUCACUCGUGGAAGGUAUGCAAUGACACAUCAUCAACUUGGAAAAACUCUUAAAUUUCCUAAAAAUUAUGCUUAAUUAUCAUCUAUUCUUGCACUUGCCUAUGAAAAAUUUUCCCAUCUUAAAAAAAAAAAUCCUUUCUUUCGUCAUAUUAUACCCUAAGAAUUUAGUAUAGGGAUAAUAUCAGAAAUCUGCCCUGAGGUUUCUCUUAAUAUCACCUGACACCCCUGAGGUUUUAAAAAUAUCACUUAUCUCCCUUCCUUUUGUUAUUUGUGUAACAAAAUUUUUAAAAACCCUAAACUACUCUAUCACUUGCUAAAUAAAAAUAUUGCUAAAUCACUUUAUUCACUUCAAUAAAUCCAUCACCUAAAAAACAAUCUCUUGUAGUAUUACCACAUCACAAUUCUAUACCCCAUAAAAGAAUAAAUUUAAAAAAUAAAAAAUAUAUUUUAAAAGAAAUACACUUGCAUCAAUUUAAUUCUAUAUGUUAAAAACCGAUUUUUUGUGAACUUAUAUUUUUUUCCAACAUCUUCUGAAUCCUUAUUCAAAUUGUUAAACUGUACCAAUUAUUAUAAAAAUCAACUCAAAAUAAGCAACUAAAUCAUAGCCACUUUAUCACAAUCACAAAAAUUAAAAGAUAAACAAAAUUUAAUUUAUUAUAAUUUACAAAGAAAAUAUUGCAUGGUCAUCCAAAAAAUAUGAGUAAGUGAGAAUGAUGAAAAAAAGGAAAAAAGAUGAACGUGACUUUCUUUUCUUUUUUUAAAAAAUUUGAGUUUCAUUUAUUUGAUAUGUUGUGAAUUAUGUGUAAGUGAGAGUUAACAUAGUCUUUUUACCAUUAUUAGAAUAUUAGGGGAGGUAAGUGAUAUUUUUAAAACCUCAGGAAUGUCAAGCGAUAUUAAGAAAAACCUCAAGGGAGGUUUCUGAUACUAUCCCUUUAGUAUAUUCUUAAGCUACUUAUGAUUCUAUGAAUACCAAAAAAAAAAAAAAAAUUGUACCUAUGGUAUUAGUACUAGAUAACAUUUUGUUAAAAUAACUACAUUUAAACAAAGAAAAUAAGACAUUCAAAAAUAAAUAGAAAAAUGCCCAAAUAAGAUAACAAAACCUAUUACACAAGAUCCAAAAGAUACGCCAAACACAUAUAUCAUUUCUUUCCUUCUCAGUCCCUUCUUCGCUAUCUACCUUAUGCUAUAACCAACUUUACACGCUGCUGUCUCCUUUCCCUUUGGCAUCCCUCCAUCCCCUUCCCCUCACCUAACCCUCCAAUCAUACUCUUGCAUCCCUCCAUCCCCUUCCCCUCACCUUUGCCUUUAAUCCUAUCCCGACUAGGGGUGGGCACGGGUCGGGUACCCGCCCCUAACAUGAUUUGGCUGACCCGACCCUAAUAUAUCGGAUCAGCCAUUUUGCGACCCUAACCCGCUCCUAAUAUUUUCGGGUACCCGAAUAGCGGGUACCCGAAAAAAAGGAGCGGGUCAUAGGAUACCCGCCCCUAAAAAAACUAUUUUUCAAUAAAAAAAAAUUAUUUUCUACUUAAUAUCAACAUGUUUUUCAAUAAAAAAACAUGCUUUUCCAAUUAAUAUUGGUAGAGAUAUUGUAAUUAAAGUCCAUACAUCACCAUUCUCACACAUUUCAUCCAAUAAUCAAAUCGAUCUCAUAAAUUUAGUACAUAUUAGAAUAUCUAAUGGACAAAAUGAAGUUUCAUAAUAAUUUUAAGUACAUCACCAUUUUCACACAUUUCAUACUUCUACAACACAACAAACACAAGGAUAAUAAGUAUUUAGUAACUUCCCCAAGGAUAUUAUGGUACAAGACCGCAUCUCAAAUAAGUCAAUUGUGAAAUCAAGUUCGGAGAAGAAUUGAAUAGAACUAAUUAUUUUUGAAAAAAAAUAUAACCAAAAUAAUGUUAAAAAUCUUCCCCAACUUCUUUACAUCUUUGGAAUAGACCUUAUGGUAUUAAGGUGAUGAAAAAGAAAAAUAAAUUUCUUACACUAAAUAAAAGAGACUAAUUUAAGAGAUAUAAUUGCAAAUGAAUGACACAAAUAUUUUAAUUAUCUAGCUAACAGAAAAUUGAAACUCCAAACAAAAAUCUUUGAUUGAAUUGAUGCAAGAUUUGCAGGAAAGAUCGAUCGAGGUAGAAUAAAAAUAAAAAAGAUGAAAGGGAUGAACAAUUUUUAUAAUAGAGUUUCACAAAUUUUUUUUUUCAUUUUGUUCAUGUUUCACCGAGAAUAUUCGCUUUCUUCAAAAAAAAAAUGAGAAGAGUAGAUCAUAUAGGAUUAGAAUAUGAGGCUGCGAGCCACUUCACUUGCAGCUUAGAAUUAAAAAUUAUAAAAUGAUCCCUACUUUUUUAAUAUUUAUAAAAUAUACCCUGCGGGUCGGGUACCUAUUUUUCCUAUCAGAUCGGAUCGGGUUCAUCGGAUUUUCGGAUCGGCGGAUUUUUUUGCCCACCCCUAAUCCCGACCUAUCCCCACUACCCUAUGGAUACACUCUUAUGGUUCCACUAUCAUUAUAAUUUCUAUACUUUAUCUUAUAUUUUCUAUAUGUGCAACACUAAUAAUGAUUCAACCAAUCAUUCUUUUAAUUUUUAGUAAAAAAAUUGAAUGUGAAGUAAUGUUAGAAAUUAUUUUGGUCUUUUGAACUCAUUUCUCCAUAUUUAAUACUACAUAAAUUCUAAACAAAUUGCUAUUGUUUCUUUAUAAACAGUAUAAAAUAUGCAAAAAAUAUUAAGUCAAUCAACCUAGGAAAUAACCAUUUUACCAUAAUAAAUUGAUAAUAACAAUACAUCAUUUUCUAACAAUAAAAUUCAAUUCCAUACCAUACAUACACAUACACACAUAUAUAGAAUUAAUAUUUUAUACACUGACAGUAUAUACACCAUUAUCAUUAGAUGCAUGACAACUUAUCUGAAUUAAAAUUUGAAAUCCAAAUUUGACUCAUGGGUCAUGUAUUAACCGUAAUAGUGUAUACACUAUUAGUAUAUAUAAGAUUUACUCAUAUAUAUAUAUUAAAUUAUAUGUAUUAUUCAUAUAUUGUAUUAUAUUAUAUUAUAUUAUUUUAUUAAAUUAUAAGUGGAAGGACCCACCCCCAGCUCUAUUUCUUCCAUUCAUGAUACUAUUCUCCUCUUAUCCAAUAACCCUACCUUCCUUGUUCUUGAAAUCCUUUUCUUUCCUCUCACCGUGCUGGCCUCAUAAUCCCUCUCUUCCACUCAAUAAUUUCAUCUCCUCCCUACCCUUGUAGUUCUGUCUAUUACCUCCCUCAACAUACUUACUCCAUCCUACCAAUUGCUCUUUUCCACCUCUUAACCCUAUUUUUUCCAAUUCAUGACUUAUUUCAUUACACCUAAAAAGUUUUGGCUAAAUCCAAUGUCAAAAUUUUGAUAAGUGGGAUCAACAUAAAUUUCAUAAAAUUUUGUAUAUUUGAAAUUUUUCUAUAAAUAACCAUUGAAAAAAUUCUCAAAGAUUCCUAAAAUGUUCCUGAAAUGAACCAUCCAAAUACAUCCUUGUUUAUUUGAGUUCAUCUUAGUAGAAUUUAUUUACUAUAUAGCUCAUCUUCAAAUAUUUGUGUGCAUGUGCUCGAGCUUGUGGAUGUAUCAAAAACAUAUUUUAUAUAUGUCUAAAUUUAGUAAACGAAGAAGAAGUUUACAUUAGUCAAAAGCAUAAACUUUUGGUCUAAUGUCAACAAAAUCUAGAUAAGAAAUUAAUAAGAGUUCAGAGUAUCAUUUGAAUCUUUAUGAUGAAAAUAUUUUCUCUUAUAUAUAAAUGAUAGAUAUUGUUAUGUCAAAUCUUGGGAAUCAAGAAAUAUGAUACAAGCAUUAAAGAGUAAAAUGAUAAAUUCAUUAAUAUAGUGUACUCAAUUUCCUAAGAGGAUUGUAAAUCAUAGUUACUAAAUUGUAGCAUUUAUGUUAUAUUAUUUUUAUUUUUUUUAUAAUAUUUGCAUAUUGAUGUUACCUUACUGUAAAAUAGGAAUACUCAUAUUGAACUUGUUAGAUUUAAUUUGUAUCUUUUCCAAGGAAACAUGAGAGUAAUAUAUUUCAAGCAAGAUUAGUAUUACCAUAUGAUAGGUAGAAACUUUCCAAGUUUAAGUUAUGUAUUUGCAUUUGUAAGUUGAAAAAUAAAAUAUUAUAAUGGAAAAUUUUUUAUAUUUACUCUUAAGAUUUGAAUCUAUUUCCAAUUUUAAGUAGUAUAAUAUAAUUCUCAUAAGUUUGUAUUAGGUAGGAUUAGUGCAUUUAAGUACAACUGCUAUAUGAUAGGUAAGAAUUUUUCAAAUCUAAGCGAUACAAUUAUGGUAGAUUCCAUUCAAAUGUUGAAAAGAAUUUAUUACGACUAAAAUAAUUAAAAAUUCUAUAAAAAUAGAAAUGCAGAAUUGGAAGCUCAAUGGGAAUUUCAAACUGAAAAAUCAUCUUAAAAUAUUAUAUACAUGUAUGUAUGUGUGUGUGAAAAUUAGGGCUGCUAAUCGAACCAUCUAAAGUGGGACUUCAAAAAGCCCAAACUCGACUCACUUAGUUUGUAAGACAUUUCAGAUUCAAGCUAAUAUAUAUGAAACUCAUAUUUGACUCAUAGUACAUUUGGGCUUUGAACCCCAUUUGGGUUUAGACUAAACUUACUUAUUAUUUCUUAAUUUCUUUAAUAUAAUUACUAUAACCAUUAAGUAGUAAAGUUAGUUUACAACCUACAGUAUCAAAACUACUCAUAAAUCAGUAAAAUGUUGAUUAAAAGUACAUAAAUUAAUACUAAUAGGGCCUUCAGUUUCAAAUCAUGUAAUAGGCUAAUAGUAAUAGUCAUUAGUCAACACACUACUAAUAGGUCUUUCUCUUUAAAUAUAUUUAUUUAAUAAAUCUAAGUCUCUUCAAAACCAAUACUAAUUGCUAAUAGUCCAAUUAUACAUUACAUAUUUAGAAAUAAUAAAUGUAUAGGUAUAUACAUUAGGCAUAUAUGUAUAUAUAUAUAUAUAUAACGGGCUACAAUUUAAUUGGAUUGAACCUAUAGAGGCCCAAACUCGAAUCACAUUUUAAUCAUACAUCAAAUCUAGGCCCAAACUUUGUGUGACCUAAAAUUAUAGUAGGCUCGGCCCUUUUCUUUCGAGCUGAAUUCGGUUUGGCCCGGGCACCUUAACAGCCCUACAAUAUUAUAUUAUUUUUUUAUCUCCAAAAAAUAAACCUAUUAUUUUUAUUCAGUCCAGCGAUUCACUAUAAUAAAAAUUAAAAGAUUUGUACAUUUAAGCCAUUCACAGUACACCCUUAUGUAAUAAACAAUAAUUUGACAUCCAUAAACUCAAUCAAACAAGUUUAGGAAGAUUCCAACUCCAAAAAUAAAAAUCAAUUAGUUUCGGGGGCUGUUAGCGUUGGCGAAAGAGGGUGGAGAAAAGGAGAAGGUGUGGGAAAAGGGGAUUGGGAGAUGGCUAUAGGAAGAUGGAGAGGGCUGUACGCAGGGGAGGUGGAGUGGUGGGCUUCAAAUCCUCUGUCCCCAAAGUAGUUUCUGUCCCCUCUGUCCCUUGUUUAUACAGUUGUCAUGUGUCUCUAAUCUUUUGUUAAUCCAAACUCAAAUAUAUCAAAUUUGAUAUUUAACAAUUUGGUAGCUUAAUACAUUCAAAUUUUAAAUUUUAGUUGUCGGAUUUCAAUUUUAUCAAACAGACCCUUCAUCUUCAUCUGAAGUGCUAAAGUUGUGAUUGUUUCGUUCGUGGGUUGCGACAUAGGAUGAAAUCGCCUUGCUGUCAACUUGAUGUUUUGAUUGUGGGGUUGCUUGUACAUGCAAUGACUUGGUAUGAAAUGACCUUAGCUUAGCAGCAGGAAGGACCGUGGCCCCUAACUCUGGGACUUUCAUAAAGACGAGAAAACGGCCUUUCCAAGUUUUUGGAGAUAUUCACAGUAUACAGUAUACAGUCCUACAUCUUUCGCCUCUUUGCCUCAGUCCAUGUGGAGGGUCCCAUUUCCUACACCACCAAGAUUGUCUAAUAUCUUGAAUCUUCAUGGUUUUCUUGUCCCUAGCUAGUGACAAGAUCGAACCCUUUUUCUUUUUCCAUUCUUUUCUUAUUUGUUUUUCCAUAAUUUUGGCAUCACAUUUUUGGAUCAAGUAAGAAGGGGAAGCAAAUCUGAGACCUAUUCUCUUUGGGAAAAAUAAUGUCAGUUGUAUUGCUUUUUGUAAGAACUUGGUAUACAAAUGAUGCUAAAGUUGUUAUUCCCACGUAAUUAGCCUUUACAUGUUUCUGUAUAAAACGAUUGUUAAUAACGUGGAGUUAUUGUAUGCAUGAUGUGAAUGCAAUUCUUGCAAGAUGAUCAUUUGGAAUUGGCUGCUAAAUUACCAAGAAAAUUUUAUGGCUCAUGAACCUCUCAUUUUUCAUCUCAGGCCUAGUACAUAUACAUAAAUGCAUGAUUGCAUAACUACUUUUCAAGAAGCCGAGUGGUAAUGGUAUUAAAAGAAAAUUCAGUAUUCAAAAAUAUGGAAAAAGGUAAUUCUCAUUAAAGCACUUAAUUUUUGCUAUAACUUUCAUAAGUCCUAGCAUGUAAAAGUUCAAAAAUCGUAGUGUUUAUGGUCUAAGAAGUUGAGGUCUUCCAUUUUCCAAUGUAGUAAUUGCAGUAAACUAUUAAUUUAUCUAUGGGAAUUACACAUCCUAAAAUCAUUCUGCAAGUAGUUUAUUUUGGGGAAAAAGAAAGGGAGGAACAAGAUAAAGGUACAAAGAUUCUAUGACUAGAAUAAAGGGACCUAUAUACAAUAAUGCCUAUCGAAUAAUUUUCCUCUUAUAUAUUUACUGCUUGUCAGAAAAAAAAAAUUGAAGAACAAAAAACCUUUAGUAUAAAAAUUCAAGGUAUAUGUUGCCUUCAACAAUGAUUAUUUUUUUUAGACCUAUAGAUUCAAUGGAGAGAUCAUAUUUAAACACCUUUACCUGUAAAACUGAAAUAUACUGGUGGAUAGAAAAAGAAAAAAAAAAUUACAAGUUACUAUAAUUUGCAUGGUAAAUUAUAUUCUGUACAGUAAAUUUUUACCAUGAUGGACAAAUAAAAUGCUUAAAACAUACAUGACAAAUUCUUUCUCACAAGAAGAACAGAAUAUUGCAGCAUGGUCCUAAUGUGGCACACUGCUUAAUUUGUACCAUUCUAAUAUUAAAAGGGUGGCACUCCUACUUCACUGAAAGAUACACGUGCACCAAAAAUUGACAUUUAUAUGUAGACUUCUCCUAAGCAUUAUUUAGAGGGCAAUUAAAAUAAUGUCAUUGGGGGCAAUGAUAGUUUAAGCUACCAAGAACUGCAAAAUGUUUCAACCUAAGAAGUAUGAACUUCUUCUUCUUCUGGACAUAAUAAGCUAAAUUCCGGGCAAAGCUUGUUAUCACUCUUACAAUUAUCAGCAACAUUUCACACUCAUUAAUUCUAACAUAUCUGAUCUAACAAGGCAAAGCCUAGCUAGUGGUUUUCAGGUGAAGUCUGGCGGUUUUCUGGCAGGUUGGAAGGGGCCACAAGUGUUCCUUGACCGUACAAAGUGCUAAGCUGGUGAAAAUAAGGACAGGUCCUGGAGUCAAGUGACCUCUUCUUGUUGUUGUCUUUUGUCUUCCUGAAAUACUUGUUUAUAUUCUCCCAUUUCUCUUUGCAUCUUUUGGAGCUUCUCUUGUACCCCAACUCUAGCAUCCCUUGUGAGAUUCUUUCCCAUAGGGGACCCUUUGCACCUUCCUUGAUGCUGUCAUCAGAUGUACUGUUAUUGGUGAGACGACACUUGAGGUUUAUCAAUGCUUGGACUUCAUCUCUAGGCCAUCGCUUACCGGCGAUUCGCUCCCCCCUCUCAUUUGGUGCAGAAACCAUUUUCUGGGAUGAUUUUUGUGCUAAAGAUGGAUUUGGCUGUGAAGGGUUCUCAUGGUAUUUAUAAGAAUUGGUAUUAGGGUUUUGGGAUGUCGUGGGUAGUGUAGCUGAGGAGGUUGCUUGUGGAGUUGAGCAAUGGUUGUGAGGUGAUGGGGUGGUUUCUCCAGAUGAAGUUGGAUUGUUUCUUGAGAGCACCAAAGUAGGGUUUUGGUGGGAAAUAGCCAUGCUUGCUGAAGUGACUGCUUCGAGUUUAGUUUGGUCACUAUUGAGGCUGCUAGGGGGCAGAAUUUCAGAAGACGAAGUCACAGAAUUUGAACUAUUUGUUACCUUGAGAAGAUCUUCAAUUCUCCUUACUAAGCUUUGAUCUGCCUCAGAACCAGAUGUGAAUUUCUUAAGGAGAUCAAUUAUCUUGCCUUGUCUAUCACAUGCAAUGGCCUGUUCUUGUGCCCUCAUCUCAAUUUCCUUGUUGAUCCUAUCCAUUUCUUGACACUUCCAAGCUUCAUCUCUUGCGAUGCUUUCCCGAUCUCUUCUCACCAUGUCUUCAAUAAGUUUGUUGUGUAGCACUUC